rnacentral:rRNA from 1 species
UACGUAUGGUGCUAGCGUUGUUCGGAAUUACUGGGCGUAAAGCGCGCGUAGGCGGACUUUUAAGUCGGGGGUGAAAUCCCGGGGCUCAACCCCGGAACUGCCUUCGAUACUGGGAGUCUGGAGUUCGAGAGAGGUGAGUGGAAUUCCGAGUGUAGAGGUGAAAUUCGUAGAUAUUCGGAGGAACACCAGUGGCGAAGGCGGCUCACUGGCUCGAUACUGACGCUGAGGUGCGAAAGCGUGGGGAGCAAACAGG